rnacentral:lncRNA from 12 species
CCCCCCCCCCCCCCCCCCCCCCCCCCCCCCCCCCCCCCCCCCCCCCCCCCCCCCCCCCCCCCCCAACGGGAUCCACACAGCCAAAAUGGGAUCUACUGGGAUGGAUCGGGAUCCACCGAGCCAGAACGGGAUCCACCGAGCCAAAAUGGGAUCUAAUGAGCCGGAUCGGGAUCCACUGAGCCAAAACGGGAUCCACACAGCCAAAAUGGGAUCCACUGAUAUGAAAUGGGAUGCACCGAGGAACGAGAUCUACUGAGAUGGAACGGGAUCCACCGAUCCAAAAUGGGAUCCACUGAGAUGGAACGGGAUCCGCCGAGACAGAACGGGAUCUGCCGAGAUGGAACGGGAUCUACUGGGAUGGAACGGGAUCCACUGAGCUGGAAUGGGAUCCACCGAUCCAGAAUGGGAUCCACUGAUAUGAAAUGGGAUGCACCGAGCUGGAACAGGAGCCCCCGUUCAGCACAGGAUCCCCUGUUCAGCACAGGAUCCCCUGUUCCAACACAGGAUUCCCUGUUCCAACACAGGAUCCUCCAUUCCAGCACAGGAUCCCCUGUUCAGCACAGGAUCCUCCAUCCCAGCACAGGAUCCCAUCCCAGCACAGGAUCCCCCAGGAACAAGAGGACACCAGGCCUCAGGGACAGGAACUAAACCAGUCUCACACUGGCUGGUGGGUGCCCAUGGGAUUGGGAUCAUGUCCCGUGGGAUUGGGAUCACGGUGUCCCGUGGGAUUGGGAUCACGGUGUCCCGUGGGAUUGGGAUCACGGUGUCCCGCGGCUCCGGGAGCUCAGCUCUGGGAUUUGCUCCGCUCCGCCCGUGGCAGCCGGGCCGGCAUCUCAGGAACGGGCGGGAGGCGACCCCAAAUCGCGGCCCUCGCCCCCGGGGUUUGACAGGAGCGGGAAUGGGGCAGCGGGGGUGGGGCCUGCAGGAAGCGCGGGGCUGGGAUUUCUGGGAUUCCUGGGAUUCCUGGGAUUCCUGUGAUUCCUGUGAUUCCUGUGAUUCCUGUGAUUUCUGUGCUGAUUUCUGUGCUGGUUUCUGUGAUCUCUGUGCUGAUUUCUGUGCUGGUUUCUGGGAUUUCUGGCGCUGCCCCUCGGCAGACGGGAUCCACCCCCUGACUUUUUUGGAUGCCGUUUCCUGGCAGCUCCCUCGGUCUGUGCUGAGCUGAGCAGCGCUCCCACAAUCCCGCGGCUGCCGCGAGAGCAGGCGGCGCGAAUUGGCUAUUUUGGGAAAUCCAAAGUGAAGGGAGGAAGAGGAAGGAGAAGAGGAGAAGGAGAACCCCCCCCCCCCCCCCCCCCCCCCCCCCCCCCCCCCCCCCCCCCCCCCCCC